rnacentral:lncRNA from 1 species
CUUCCCUGUCUGGAUGAAAUAGUGGGUCUGGAGCAGCUCCUUCAUCCCAGAGCCCCAAGCAGCGCCCUUCUCCUGCCAUUAGUCCAGGGCUAAUGACCUGUGAGGACAGAGUACCUUGCUCCAUCUUAGCCACAGCAGAAGUUGCUGUAGCAUCAGAUGAUCCUUCUGCAGGCCCUGGAGCUCAGGGUGGCUUUUCCAAGCUGGGUGGUUUGAGGCUAAAAUGAUUCUAGGUGCUGUUCUUCAUUUCCAGAAGUCAACCGAAAGGGCCAGUGGGGUUAAGGAAGAGCGGCUAUUUUGUGGGUGCCCAAGGCUCUGUAAUCCUCUCUCCUUUUUCUGGGUCACCUGCUUGGUGUGAAUUCAUCAGAAGACAUCAGUCUGAUAUUUUUGGAGCUAUGAAUUAUAACUGCAUUUCUGCAUUUCGCGCAGACACCUAAGCUAACUCUGGGCAGGGGCCUGAGCUGGAGACUCAGAGACUGCAGGGAGUCUCGC